rnacentral:rRNA from 1 species
AUGAACGCUGGCGGCGUGCCUAACACAUGCAAGUCGAACGAGAAAGUCCGCAAGGAUGAGUACAGUGGCGAACGGGUGCAUAACGCGUGGAAUCUGCCCUUGAGUGAAGGAUACCUUCGAGAAAUCGGAGUUAAUACUGCAUAAGCCCCGAAAAGGGGAAAGAUGGCCUAAUAGCUAUCGCUGAAGGAUGAGCCCGCGUACUAUUAGCUAGUUGGUAGGGUAAAGGCCUACCAAGGCGAGAUGGUUAGCCGGCCUGAGAGGGUGUACGGCCACAUUGGGACUGAGAUACGGCCCCAGACUCCUACGGGAGGCAGCAGUGGGGAAUAUUGCACAAUGAGCGCAAGCUUGAUGCAGCGACGCCGCGUGGAGGAUGAAGGUUUUCGGAUCGUAAACUCCUGUUGUGUGGGAAGAAAGGGAUCUACCUAAUACGUAGAUCAGAUGACGGUACCACAAGAGAAGCACCGCAAACUUCGUGCCAGCAGCCGCGGUAAUACGAAGGGUGCGAGCGUAUAGGCGUUCGGGUACUGGGCGUAAAGAGCGCAUAGGCGGCUUAUUAAGUCACUUGUUAAAUCUCCCGGCUUAACCGGGAAAAAGCGAGUGAAUAACUGAGGAGCUAGAGUGUAAGAGAGAGAAGCGGAAUUCGGAGUAGCGGUAAAAUGCGUAGAUCUCGAGAGGAACACCGAUGGAGAAGCAGCUUCUUGGCUUAUAACUGACGCUCAAGCGCGGAAAGCGUGGGGAGCAAACAGGAUUAGAUACCCUGGUAGUCCACGCUGUAAACGAUUAUCACUAGAUAUGGGUAUUGCAUAGCAAGAUCUGUUGUCGAAGCUAACGCGUUAAGUGAUCCGCCUGAGUAGUACGGUCCGCAAGAUUAAAACUCAAAGAAAUUGACGGGGGUCCGCACAAGCGGUGGAACAUGUGGUUUAAUUCGACACUACGCGAGAAACCUUACCUAGGCUUGACAUGUAACUGCAACCGGUCGAAAUACUGGGUUCUGUAGCAAUACAGACGGUUACACAGGUGCUUGCAUGGCUGUCCGUCAGCUCGUGUCGUGAGAUGUUGGGUUAAGUCCUUUAACGAGCGCAACCCUUGCCGUUAGUUGCCAACCUGGAAACGGGAGCCUCUAGCGGGACUGCCUGGAAACAAGGAGGAAGGUGGGAUGACGUCAAGUCCGCAUGGCCCUUAUGCCUAGGGCUACACACGUGUUACAAUGGCGUGAACAGAGGGAAGCAAAGCUGUGAAGUGAAGCAAAUCCCAGAAAACACGUCUAAGUUCAGAUUGAGUCUGCAAUUCGACUUCAUGAAGUUGAAAUCGCUAGUAAUCGCGUAUCAGAACGACGCGGUGAAUACGUUCUCGGACCUUGUACACACCGCCGCUCACACCACGAAAGCCGUCUGCACCCGAAACUAUCUUUGCGAACCUGAAAGGGACGCGGGGUAGUGAAGGUGAAGAGGGUGAUUGGGGUG